rnacentral:rRNA from 1 species
UACGGGGGGGGAAAGCGGUGUUCGGAAUUACUGGGCGUAAAGGGCUCGUAGGCGGCCAAAUAAGUCAGACGUGAAAUCCCUCAGCUUAACUGGGGAACUGCGUCUGAUACUGGAUGGCUUGAGUCUGGUAGGGGAACACGGAAUUCCUGGUGUAGCGGUGAAAUGCGCAGAUAUCAGGAGGAACACCGAUGGCGAAGGCAGUGUUCUGGGCCAGUACUGACGCUGAGGAGCGAAAGCGUGGGGAGCAAACAGG